rnacentral:rRNA from 1 species
UACGAAGGGUGCAAACGUUGCUCGGAAUCAUUGGGCGUAAAGCGCACGUAGGCGGCUUUGCAAGUCGGAUGUGAAAUCCCUCGGCUCAACCAAGGAAGUGCAUCCGAAACUGCAGAGCUUGAGUACUUAAGAGGAUCGCGGAAUUCCCGGUGUAGAGGUGAAAUUCGUAGAUAUCGGGAGGAACACCAGUGGCGAAGGCGGCGAUCUGGGAAGAUACUGACGCUGAGGUGCGAAUGCGUGGGGAGCAAACAGG